AACGUAGGUGGCAAGCGUUAUCCGGAAUUACUGGGCGUAAAGGGUGUGCAGGCGGGGUGGCGAGUGGGGUAUGAAAUAUCCCAGCUUAACUGGGAGGGGUUAUGCCAGACUGCUACUCUAGAGGACGAGAGAGGGGCGUGGAAUUCCGGGUGUAGUGGUGAAAUGCGUAGAGAUCCGGAGGAACCCCAGAGGCGAAGGCGACGCCCUGGCUCGUACCUGACGCUCAGCCACGAAAGCAUGGGGAGCGAACGGG
rnacentral:rRNA from 1 species